ACGGAUGAAGGUAAUUAAUUAAAAAAUAAAUGUUAAUAUUAUACAAUAUUUUGAUUACGACUCUCUCGAGCCAAGUUUCUCCCAUUCUCGAGCUAGGUUUCUCCCCUUCUCGAGCCUUAGGUAUUCUUCCUUCUCGAGCCCUAGCUUGCCAUAGCAUCAAUCCACGAUUCUUUCUCUCUGAUUGUGCUGUCAGUCGUUGUUGUGUUGUCAACCCAUCAUUCUCCCUCGUCGAGCCUUCUUGUCUAUGCGACUGGAACUGUGUUUCUGUGUAGCCGAAGGACCAUUCUUCCUCAUUGGACCUGUAGUGUGGCAUUGUAGCUGUCGUUUUCCCUCAGUCGAACCGGAGUUGUGCCCCUACUCGAACCACUCUCGAACCCUAACUUGAAGUCUCCUCUGUCGAACGCAGUGAAAGCCUCCUCUAUCGAACGCACUGAAGCUCUUUGAAGCACUUAAAUGUGGUUGUGCGUCGUUGCCGGAACAAUCUCAGUUCAGCAAACACUGUCGUUCGACCUCCGUGGUUCGCUAAUUAAUCCAAACUUCCUUCAUUUUUAUAGUAUCUAUAAUGUUACAUUGACCGAUUAUUGUACUUUAUUCUUUGGAGGAUGGAAAUCCCAAUUUGUGAAACCCUAGGUUGGUUUGUUCCCAGUGGCAGAGAUAACCUCGAGCUCCAAUUGCCUUCUGUACCUGCGAAAGAGACUGAUUUUUGUUAACAAGUGCUGGAUAUGUUUAUUUGAAACAAGGCUUUUCCAAGUACAUGAGGAACCUUUGUCUAGCAAGCAGAGCUAUGUUGCUUUCUGGACCUGCAGCCAAAGGUUGCCCAAGCUUUAGCUCAGUGCUUUGGAUCGAAGUUGUUGUUACUAGACAUAAUUGACUUCUCCUUGGAGAGGAAAUAUGGAUGUCCCAGAAAAGAACCGGUCCAUUUAUGAGGUGACUGUUCAGCGAGUGUCGGGUUUGUUUGGGUCCUUUCCAAUCUUCCCUUCAACUAGCAGAACCAGAGGUACACUACUUCAACAGAGUAGUGAAAUUGAAAAUUCUAGCAAUCCUCUGAAACUUUGUUGGAAUGCCUCUAGUGCAGGUUGAUGAGUUAGCUCAAACCCAUCCUUCAUUUCUGACAUUGAAGAGUGUGGAUCUUUCCCCAACAAGUUGGUUUCUUGGUACCCAAUUUAUAUUGUCCCAAGUCGAAACAAUGAAAAGGAAUUGGAAGCAUGCUUCCUCACUUACCAUACUCUGCCAUCAUCUUUCGAAGGGGUGGCCUAUACAAGUUGCUUCAUACCCUGCCUCCGAAUGCUUCUGAGUACAUUUUACAAGCUCUGAAACCAAGGAAAAAUUGGCAUUCAUAGAAGAGCUUGAACUUUUUCCAGUCAUGUUAGUUUCUAUGUUUCUUUUUAUAAUUUUAGGUUACUGUUCAUAGAUUUCUUUGUAUUUAUAAUCAUUUAAUUAAUUGUAUUGUAUAUUAUUCUUCAUUUGUAUAAAGGAUCAAAAUAUAUUUUUAAAUUCUUUCUUAAUUGUAUUGUAUACUAUUCUUCAUUUGUAUAAA